AAUCUUGCCAUGAGAAGAGCAAUAA
rnacentral:siRNA from 1 species